rnacentral:rRNA from 1 species
UACGUAGGGAGCAAGCGUUGUCCGGAAUCAUUGGGCGUAAAGCGCGCGUAGGUGGCCUCGUAAGUCCGCUGUGAAAGUCAAAGGCUCAACCUUUGAAAGCCGGUGGAUACUGUGAGGCUAGAGUACGGAAGAGGCGAGUGGAAUUCCUGGUGUAGCGGUGGAAUGCGUAGAUAUCUGGAGGAAUACCGGUGGCGAAGGCGGCAUCCUGGACCGACAUUGACGCUGAGGAGCGAAAGCCAGGGGAGCAAACGGG